CCUCAAUGAUCUAUGUCAUUCAAGAACACAUUUUGAAAACAUUCAGAAUAGAGGACGCAUUACAAUGGGGAAAUAUGUUUGCUUCGGUCAAAUGUAGCAGGAGCAGGAGACUAAUGAUAGUUGAUCUUUAUUAUUUUGCAAACUUGUGCAAAUAGUCAAAUGAAAGGAACUUCCAGAAUCCAACCCAAAAUCAAAUAUUAAUUUGACCUUGCAGAAAUCAAUGAUGCAAAUCGUAUUCCAAUUCUAAAAUCAGUAAAAACAAAUUACGAAAAUAUUCUCAGAAGUAAUUCAGCACCAAAGGGAACAACAUGAUGCACAAAGUCCUUCUUCAUCAAUGAUGGAAAAAGGGAUGAGAAGCUUGAAAGCCUUUGUAGAUUAAAGCUUGACGGCAUAAACUCCUACCUAAAACAGCUUAGCAAUUCUAUCGGAUUUUCCAAACGCAAUCCCUUCAAGGGUUCAGCCAAAAGUAAACCUCAAGGUUUUGCCCAAUCCGCCAUAUAUCCCGAACCGUUCUAACAUCACCUCCAUCUUCACCUUCUUUGCCUUGGACUCUCCCUUGUGGGUUCUUGGUAGAAGCUGUAGCGAUUUCGUCUUGUUAGUACUUGGUAAGAGCUGCAGCCGUGGUGGUUUGAUGGUUUAAAUUAGGGAUUUGAUUUGGGCAGUGAAGAGGAGAAGAGAAACGACAAAGGAUUGCUAGAGAUGAAGAUGAAGAAGAA
rnacentral:lncRNA from 1 species